CGCUGGCGGCACGCCUAACACAUGCAAGUCGAACGAAGUAGCAAUACUUAGUGGCAGACGGGUGAGUAACAUGUAGGUAUCUACCCUUUGGCCUGGAAUAACACGAGGAAACUUGUGCUAAUACCGGAUAAGUCUUUACGGAGAAAGCUUUAUGCACCAUUGGAUGAGCCUGCACUUGAUUAGUUUGUUGGUAGGGUAAUGGCCUACCAAGACUGUGAUCAAUAGCUGAUUUGAGAGGAUGAUCAGCCACAUUGGGACUGAGACACGGCCCAAACUCCUACGGGAGGCAGCAGUGGGGAAUCUUGCACAAUGGAGGAAACUCUGAUGCAGCGAUGCCGCGUGAGUGAAGAAGGCCCUUGGGUUGUAAAGCUCUUUCGUCGGGGAAGAAAAUGACUGUACCCGAAUAAGAAGGUCCGGCUAACUUCGUGCCAGCAGCCGCGGUAAUACGAAGGGACCUAGCGUAGUUCGGAAUUACUGGGCUUAAAGAGUUCGUAGGUGGUUGAAAAAGUUGGUGGUGAAAUCCCAGAGCUUAACUCUGGAACUGCCAUCAAAACUUUUCAGCUAGAGUAUGAUAGAGGAAAGCAGAAUUUCUAGUGUAGAGGUGAAAUUCGUAGAUAUUAGAAAGAAUACCAAUUGCGAAGGCAGCUUUCUGGAUCAUUACUGACACUGAGGAACGAAAGCAUGGGUAGCGAAGAGGAUUAGAUACCCUCGUAGUCCAUGCCGUAAACGAUGUGUGUUAGACGUUGGAAAUUUAUUUUCAGUGUCGCAGCGAAAGCGAUAAACACACCGCCUGGGGAGUACGACC
rnacentral:rRNA from 1 species